AUUGCGCAAUGGGCGAAAGCUUGACGCAGCGACGCCGCGUGUGGGAUGAAGGAUCUAGGGUUGUAAACCACUUUCAGGAGGGAAGAAAAUGACGGUACCUCACACAAGAAGGCCCCGGCCAACUACGUGCCAGCAGCCGCGGUAAUACGUAGGGGGCGUAGCGCUUGUCCGGAUUUAUUGGGCGUAAAGAGCUCCGAGGCGCUUCAACAAGUCGGUCGCGAAAGUUCGAGGUGCUCAACCCUGAAAUGUCGAUCGAUACUGUUUGUGACUAGAAUGCGGUAGAGGUGAGUGGAAUUCCGAGUGUAGCGGUGAAAUGCGUAGAUAUUCGGAGGAACACCAAUUGCGAAGGCUGCUCACUGGGCCGCUAUCGACGCUGAGGAGCGAAAGCUAGGGGAGCAAACAGGAUUAGAUACCCUGGUAGUCCUAGCUGUAAACGAUGGAUACUAGACGUAGGAACUGGAUUGACGGUUUCUGUGUCGUAGCUAACGCGUUAAGUAUCCCGCCUGGGGAGUACGGUCGCAAGACUA
rnacentral:rRNA from 1 species